CGUGUAGGCGGUUUGCAAGUCAGAUGUGAAAUUCCCAGGCUUAACCUGGGCGCUGCAUCUGAAACUGCAAGACUUGAGUACUGGAGAGGAUAGUGGAAUUCCUAGUGUAGCGGUAAAAUGCGCAGAUAUUAGGAGGAACACCGGUGGCGAAGGCGACUAUCUGGACAGUAACUGACGCUGAGGCGCGAAAGCGUGGGGAGCAAACA
rnacentral:rRNA from 1 species